CCUACGGGAGGCAGCAGUGGGGAAUAUUGGACAAUGGGGGCAACCCUGAUCCAGCCAUGCCGCGUGUGUGAAGAAGGCCCUCGGGUUGUAAAGCACUUUCAGUGAGGAAGAACGCCUGGUGGUUAAUACCCAUCAGGAAAGACAUCACUCACAGAAGAAGCACCGGCUAACUCCGUGCCAGCAGCCGCGGUAAUACGGAGGGUGCGAGCGUUAAUCGGAAUUACUGGGCGUAAAGCGCGCGUAGGUGGCUUGAUAAGCCGGUUGUGAAAGCCCCGGGCUCAACCUGGGAACGGCAUCCGGAACUGUUGAGCUAGAGUGCAGGAGAGGAAGGUAGAAUUCCCGGUGUAGCGGUGAAAUGCGUAGAGAUCGGGAGGAAUACCAGUGGCGAAGGCGGCCUUCUGGACAGCAACUGACACUGAGGUGCGAAAGCGUGGGUAGCAAACAGGAUUAGAUACCCUUGUAGUC
rnacentral:rRNA from 1 species